GACCCGUCUUGAAACACGGACCAAGGAGUUUAACAUGUACGCGAGUCAUGGGGUUCUACGAAACCUAAAGGCGCAGUGAAAGUAAAGG
rnacentral:rRNA from 1 species